AUGCCCAAGCUCUGUAAACUCCUCCCUUGCUCAUCCUUCCCACAUCCGCAUGUUGGUGAUGACGAUCGUGGCAAUGAGCAAGAAACACCAAAGCUUGAGUUUAAUAGGGUUGGUUUCUCUCAAAGGAUGAAGGAAAUUGUAGAGAAACUGCAGCAUAUGCGCAAUGAGAUUAACAAGAUUUUGCAGGGUUGUGCCCCUAAAACUGUUCCAGACAUUGCCCAGGGUCGUCCUAUCACCAAAGGUCGAAUUGAUGAGCCAAAACUGUAUGGGAGGGACAGUGUCAUGAAGAGCAUCAUGGAUGAUAUCACCAAUGGUCAAUACUGUGACAAUGGUCUAACCGUGCUUCCGGUUGUUGGUCCGGGAGGAAUGGGGAAGACAACUCUGAUACAACACAUAUAUCACAAUGAACAAGUGCAGAAUCAUUUUCCAGUCACUAUUUGGAUAUGUGUGUCAGUCAAGUUUGAUCUGGAAAAAGUGCUAGGACAGAUUAAAACAUGUAUCCCUGCAGUUAAAGAUGAAAAAGAGGGCAGUACAACUGAAGAUUUGAUUGAGCAAAGAUUGAAAUCUAAAAGGUUCUUACUUGUAUUGGAUGAUAUAUGGAAGAUUAGUAAUGGGGAUGACUGGGGAAAAUUAUUGUCAACACUCAAUAAAUCAGAGGGAAAGGGUUCCAUGAUUCUGGUCACAACUCGGUUUGAAGCAAUAGCACAGAAGGUUGAAACACAUUGCCAAUCAAUAAAGCUGAAUGGUUUAGAAUCUGGAGAGUUUAGAAAGUUAUUCCUUGCAUUUGUCUUUGGUGAUGAGCAAUAUCCAAGGGACAAACAAUUUUUGCUUGAGACUGGAGAUAAGAUAAUGGAAAAACUAAAGGGCUCCCCUCUUGCAGCAAAAACGGUUGGUAGAUUACUGAGUAAAGACCAUAGUUUGUGUCACUGGAAAAGGGUCCUGAAAAGUAAAGGAUGGGAGAAGCAGACAGAUGACAAUGAAAUUAUGCCUGCCUUGAAGCUUAGCUAUGACUUCCUUCCUUUCCAUCUGCAACAGUGUUUUGCUUAUUCUGGAUUGUUUCCUGAAGAUUACAAUUUCAGAAGUGAUGAGCUGAUCAGUCUAUGGAUCAGACUAGAUAUUUUGAUACCCAAUGGCCAAAACCAAACAUUUGAAGACAUAGGUCUGAGCAAUUUAAAUGAGUUAGUCACGCAUGGAUUUUUCAGAGAAGAGGAAACCGAGUAUGGUAUGCAUUAUGUUAUGCAUGACCUACUGCAUGAUUUGGCAUUGAAGAUUGCAUCACAUGAUUGUCUUAGUUUAUGUCUCUCUGAUGUUGGACCAGUGGAAGCUCAGCCAUCCGUCCGUCACUUGUCUAUAAGCACAGACGGCUUAGGUGAAUAUGAUGCAGUGUCUGGUGAAAAAUUGAAGAGUAAAUUGGAAGAACUAAACACAAGAUUUCAGGCUGGACGUUUGCAAACAUUGAUGUUAUUUGGAAAAAUGGAUGAAGGUUUUGUCAAGAUAUUUGGUGAUUUUUUGGGGGAAGCGAACACUCUUCGUGUUCUUCAUUUGCCCAAAAUGUUUUGUCCCAUGGAGUUCAUGUUACAUAACUUUUCGGGACUUCUCCACCUACGAUACCUAUGUCUAGGGCAUUUACCACUUAGCAUCUCUAAAUUUUAUCAUUUAAGGAUUCUAGAUCUUAAAUGGUGGAAUGACAGUCGUGAUUUACCUGCUGACAUGAGCAACCUUGCCAAACUGUGCCAUUUUUAUGUACCAAGUGAUGGUCAGCUUCAUUCUGAUAUUUAUAAUGUGGGUAAACUUAAACUCUUAGAAGAGUUAAAGGUAUUUCAAGUCAAUAGAAGAAGUGAAGGGUUUGAACCAAAGCAGCUAGAGCACUUGACCAAGCUAAGGGAGCUUGGCAUCUACAACCUUGAGAAGAUAGAUACAGCAGAAGAAGCAGCUCAAGCAAAACUGAUGGAGAAAAAUUACUUGAGGAGGUUAACAUUGGACUGGGAUAGUAAGCGAUCUACCGUUGAGCCUGGUGUGGAAGCAGCAAUUCUUGAGAGCCUUCAGCCACAUGCAGAUCUUCAGGUGUUGUGCAUUAGAGGGCAUGGAGGUCCUUGUCCAACAUGGUUGGGUGAUGAGUUCGCUGUUGAAGGUCUACAAUCUCUUCAUCUUUAUGGUGUUUCUUGGGAAGUUUUCCCUUCUUUAGGGAAGGCGUGGGAUCUUCGUGAACUAAGGUUGAAGCAUAUGGCUAGACUGAAGGAGUUUAUCAUAGUGAAAAGCUUUUGCAUGCUAACGAAGCUUAUUCUCAUUGGCCUUGGAAGUUUUGAAAAAUGGACUUACACAGGUGGUGACUUGUUGCCACUGGAUGCUCAUAUGUUCUCUCUUUUGCAAGUGCUGAUUAUUAAAGAGUGCCCAAAGCUGGUGGGGUUACCUUUCUCAAACCAUAUUGUUUCCCCAGAUUGGUUCCCCAAGCUACAAGAGCUUGAGGUAAGCGUUUGCCCCGAAUUCUUGCCAGUGAUUCCCAUCUCCUGGAUUGAAAGGCUGUGUUCUGUUAUGAUGAAAUAUGUAAAGAUGCUAAGGAUGUUUACAUACUCAAAAUCAUCCAAUGGAGCAGAAUUGGAGAUUAUUGGAGGGGCUGAUUUGCAUAGCAUAGACCAAGUGUUAUUUUUGAUAAAGAAACUCGACUUGAGAAGCUGA
rnacentral:rRNA from 1 species